UCAAGAGGCAGAGGCAGGCGGAUCUUUGAGUUUGAGGCCAGCCUGGUCCACAGAGUGAGUUCUAGGACAACCAGGGCCGAGAAACUUUUUCCAAAAUCCAAACCCCCAAACCAACCACCCAACCAAACACACACUCAAGCUGACACACUGUAUCAUAUCAAAGGAAGUAAUGCUAUGACCACUGAAUUCUCUUAGGCUGCUUCUUAGUUUUACCUUCCCAAGAUUCUUCCAGCAAUUCACUACUUGCCGCUCUGAUAGAAAGGUAUCCUGGCAUUCAGAAGCCAAGAAAUAACUACAGCUCGGAAGGGAAAGGUAUCCUGACAGAAGUGUUACAGCUCUGCUCCAGUAAGGGAAAGUUUCCCCAGCCAAAGUGUUACAGAUCUGCUCUGCUCCAGCUCCACUCUCCUCUGCUCUGGGGAAGGCAAAAGAAAGUCGUGACAACAAACCUCACUCAAGAGAUUUAUUGGGAGGGGAGAAUCCAGGAGAGUGACCGACUCUGCCAGGGCAGAAAAGGCAGCCCCAAACUAAACAGUCUUUGGAUUCCUAUGGAUUAUGUGCAGCAAGCUCAGGAUGCCGUCAUCAGCCCUGCUGAACAGUUCUGACUUCUGUUUAACUCUGGACUAGCAUGACACAUAUUUGAUUCUUCUUCAGCCCAAAGAGGUAUUAUAGUUCCAGGGUAUAUUUUCUUACAUUCAUGGGAGAUAUUGCAGAUACUAUUGGUAAUGGAUAUAAAUGUGUAAAUCCAUCAAACUUGUAAAUGAAUUGCUAGGCAU